rnacentral:tRNA from 1 species
GUUUUAAUAGCUUACAUAGAGCGCAAUAUUGAAGAUAUUGAGGUACCUAAUUGGUUUAAAGCA